rnacentral:lncRNA from 1 species
UCAAAACAGUUGCAACGACUUUCCAUUUAGUACAUUCAUUCAUAAGGGAUGGCACAUGAAGAAGACUGAUAAAUGUAUGCAGGGAUGGGCAUUUCUUUCUACUCUGAGGAGCCAGAUUUUUUCUCCUUUAAAUCGUCAUCAGAGUCAGGUUUCUCCUCUGAAUCCUCCUCAGAGUGAGGUUUCUCCUCUGAAUCUGAAUCCUCGUCAGAGUCAGAUUUCUCAAGCUCAAGGAUAACAUUGAACCCAAAUGCUGAACCUGGCGCGAAUGCCGACUCCAUUUCGCCUUCGGACUGGGUUGUCUUGAUCUCAGGUUUCACCUUCAG